ncrna:unclassified sequences RAGATH-18 RNA
UCUGUGGAGAGUAAAAGAACUUGUGAGUAGUAUUAGAGUCAUCUAGUACGAAAGCAUACUCGAUGAAACAGAAA